rnacentral:lncRNA from 1 species
AUCACUAUUCUGAAUACAUCUUGAGUAAAAAGAGAAAAUUGCUCAUGUUUCCAUGGGACUCCUGGAAACAGCAGCUCUAACAAAAUUGUCUUCAAUAAAUAAGCUAUUGCUAAAGCAGGCUGGCUGCCUUCAUCUUCCCCAGUAUUCUAGGAUAACCUCAAAGAAAUCACAACAGCUUGUUUUCUACAAUUAAAACAUUUGGGUUUUGAUAGUGUGCAUGGUCUACAAAGAAGUGAGAAGUGUAGCUGUUUGUAUGGAAUCUUAUGGUGAACAUUGCUGGCUCCAAUAUAUAACUUGAUUGGUGCAACAUCAAGGUAAAUGAAUCCUCAAAGAGCUAGCAAAUGGAUCAAAUAAAAGUA